rnacentral:rRNA from 1 species
AACGGCCAUACCAUGCUGAAUAUACCGGUUCUCUUUAGAUCACCGAAGUCAAGCAUCAUUGGGCGCGGUCAGUACUUGGGUGGGUGACCACCUGGGAAUCCCGCGUACCGU